UGGACUGUCCGGCAGACUCUGAUCCCAGCCUGGAAGUGAGCAGUAGUAAGAAAAAGAAAUCAACAGCCAAGAAAAACAAAAAACUACUGAAGGAAGAAAAGUGGCACAACUUCGCCAAG